rnacentral:rRNA from 1 species
UACAGAGGUCUCAAGCGUUGUUCGGAUUCAUUGGGCGUAAAGGGUGCGUAGGCGGCGCGGUAAGUCGGGCGUGAAAUCUCGGAGCUUAACUGCGAAACUGCAUUCGAUACUGCCGUGCUUGAGGACUGGAGAGGAGACUGGAAUUUACGGUGUAGCGGUGAAAUGCGUAGAUAUCGUAAGGAAGACCAGUGGCGAAGGCGGGUCUCUGGACAGUUCCUGACGCUGAGGCACGAAGGUCAGGGGAGCAAACGGG